UGGCAGGCUGAGCCUUGGGUGGCAAAGGUCACACAGGAGUGUGGUGAGCCCUUGGGACAAAGCAGGGCUCAGGGAAGUAACCCUGCAGCUGCUGCUCUCAGGUGGAGAGCAGAGCUGGCUGAGGAUAGGAAGCUAUGAGGAGCUGGAGUGUCACAGAUCCUUGGGCGGGGUGGCCCUGAAGCCUGGGAGCCAGGUACAGAUGAACAUGAACCUUAUUCUGCCUUGAAUGGCUAGCUCUGAGCACCACAUUACCCGAAGCAAUCAAGACAACGGGAAGCAGAUAAUGGGACUUUUGUGUCUCUACUAAAGAGGCCUCCAAUUAAAUUGCGUGUAGGUCUUCAGAAAGGUCAAUCAAAGCUUAAGCAACCCCCUGUUGUUUGACAACUUCAGAGCCCAAACUCCAUGGUCCUGGAGACCUCCACUCUUUGAAGAGGGGGGAAGUUUAAUUACCUUUUGAAAGCUGGCAGCAGGACAGGAUGCAAGGAUGUUUUCUUUCUUUUGUGUGAGUCCAACAAGUUACUAUUUUGGUCCAUGAGAGCCAACAACCCGCCACCCUGGAGGAGACGGACCCUUCCUCUGGCCUGCUGUCAGAAGAAUAGCAGAAGCAAUAGAAUAUUUGCUAAGGCGCUAGAAUGUGGUUGAUGCUGUGCAGGUUCACAGAAGAAGAGGUCGACAGGCUCAGCAAGGGAAGUGAUAGCCCUGCGGGUGGCACUGGACUUCCAAAGAGUGAGGAAAAAUGUGCGUGGGCCUGCAAUGACUGAACUAGAGCAAACAGAAUCUCUCUUGGUUACAUCUGAAGGAUGGCAUUUGUAGCAAUGGAGACAGAAAAGAUACAUAGCUCCCUAAGUGGAGUCCAGGGAGAAAGCUGCCAUGGAAGUGGUCACCAAACUGGCUCCACACAAAACAUCAUGAAAAGGUGUGAUGGGAUGGUGGCAUCCAACAGGACUUUGAUGACUGAGUGAAUCUGGAAAGUGGAAUCAACAACCAAUCAAAUGACAGAAUACUGAAAGAGUCAGAGCAUGAUGUACAAUCCACAGAUGCUACUCCUUUUCAAGACUGCAGCAAGAGUGAGAAGAUAUGACAUAUUUCCUUUUGGCCGCUCCAGACAAAAAUAGUAUAAUAAGCCUCAAAAGAUUAAAAGACUUGGAGGAACUCUGGUCUGGUUUUAUUUCAAAGGCCAUUUCUGGAUUUAUAAUCAUUGGGACCCGAUCCUACUGUGAGCACUUCCUGAGAGAUACUGAGUGCCCUCAACUCCCACUGAGGAUACUCAGCACCAAGCAAGAAGUGCUCAGUACUUUAUAUGAUUUCUCCUGAAAUAAAUGUACAUAAAGGCUAUUGUACAGCAGUGGUGUUCAUUAGGGUCCCUCUAAUCCAAUGAAAAGGCUCCUAUUGACUUCAGUGGGCUUUGGAUCCGGCCCUAAAUGUGUACUCCAAGGGUAUGUCUACACUGGAGCUGGAGGUAUAAUUUCCAUGCUAGCUUUGAUUGAACUUGUGUGCCAAAAAAAUAGCAAUGUAGCAGCAGCUGCACAGGUGGUGGGAGGGGCUAGCCACCCAGCUAUGUACCUAGGGUUUCAAAUGGGAUUGCACAUAUUUUUAGUAUGCUAACUCGCUCAGAGCUAUCAUAGGUAUGUCUACCCAACCUGAAAAUUACACUUUCCAGCUGCAGUGUAGCCAAACCCUGAAUAUAUAAAGUAUGUUAAAACAUUUCCAAAUAUAGGUUUUUGUAUUGCUAAUUGGCUUGAAUGAGAUAUUUCAGAUGUAAUUAUCUCUCCCCACUUUCCCCCCUGACUUUACCUUUGUCACAUCUGUCUUCUCUUUAUUUUUUAAUUUGGAGUAGGAUAUUCCAAAUAAACCAUUUCAGCCAAGAUGGAAGAUGGGGUCUGCCCAAGUGGCUUAACAGUAGCAAUUUUGAUCUUUUCCUCCUUGGAGGAUGGAGAAAUAUUAAACAGUUUUUGCUAAACCCUUUAUGGCUAGGGUCUUGAGCCUGAUUCUUGAUCAGAUCUGGCCACUGGAAAGGGUCCACUGUUGAGGGAUAGCUGUAGCAGGCAGGCAUUUGGAGGGUAUGUAGAGUUUAGAGAACACUCCCCGGUCAGUUGUGUAGUGGUAAUUAAGGAGUUUUUGAAAUGGGUAUUGUGCAUGUCAUGUAGAGAAUUUGGGAGCCAUGUGAGGCCAUUACUCAUUAAAAAACCACCCACAGCCCACUAAUAGAUUACAAUUUGUGGUUUGAAAAGCUCUAUAUGUGGUUCAGUUGCUCUUAUGGUUCAUAGAUCCUAGUAGAUG